rnacentral:tRNA from 1 species
GGGAGAGUGGCUGAGUGGCUAAAGGCGACGGACUGUAACUCCGUUGACAUAGUCUACGCAGGUUCGAAUCCUGCCUCUCCCA